GGCAGCACGGACUUCGGUCUGGUGGCGAGUGGCGAACGGGUGAGUAAUGCAUCGGAACGUACCCGGUAGUGGGGGAUAACUACCCGAAAGGGUGGCUAAUACCGCAUAUACUGUGCGCAGGAAAGCAGGGGACCUUCGGGCCUUGUGCUACCGGAGCGGCCGAUGUCAGAUUAGGUAGUUGGUGGGGUAACGGCCUACCAAGCCUGCGAUCUGUAGCGGGUCUGAGAGGAUGAUCCGCCACACUGGGACUGAGACACGGCCCAGACUCCUACGGGAGGCAGCAGUGGGGAAUUUUGGACAAUGGGCGCAAGCCUGAUCCAGCCAUGCCGCGUGAGUGAAGAAGGCCUUCGGGUUGUAAAGCUCUUUCGGACGGAAAGAAAUCGCGCAGGCUAAUACCCUGCGCGGAUGACGGUACCGUCAUAAGAAGCACCGGCUAACUACGUGCCAGCAGCCGCGGUAAUACGUAGGGUGCGAGCGUUAAUCGGAAUUACUGGGCGUAAAGCGUGCGCAGGCGGUUGAUUAAGACAGGCGUGAAAUCCCCGGGCUUAACCUGGGAACUGCGCUUGUGACUGGUCAGCUAGAGUACGGCAGAGGGGGGUGGAAUUCCACGUGUAGCAGUGAAAUGCGUAGAGAUGUGGAGGAACACCGAUGGCGAAGGCAGCCCCCUGGGCCGAUACUGACGCUCAUGCACGAAAGCGUGGGUAGCAAACAGGAUUAGAUACCCUGGUAGUCCACGCCCUAAACGAUGUCAACUAGUUGUUGGGAGGGUAAAACCUUUUAGUAACGUAGCUAACGCGUGAAGUUGACCGCCUGGGGAGUACGGCCGCAAGGCUAAAACUCAAAGGAAUUGACGGGGACCCGCACAAGCGGUGGAUGAUGUGGAUUAAUUCGAUGCAACGCGAAAAACCUUACCUACCCUUGACAUGUCAGAAAUCCCUGAGAGAUUGGGGAGUGCCGCAAGGAAUCUGAACACAGGUGCUGCAUGGCUGUCGUCAGCUCGUGUCGUGAGAUGUUGGGUUAAGUCCCGCAACGAGCGCAACCCUUGUCGUUAAUUGCCAUCAUUAAGUUGGGCACUUUAACGAGACUGCCGGUGACAAACCGGAGGAAGGUGGGGAUGACGUCAAGUCCUCAUGGCCCUUAUGGGUAGGGCUUCACACGUCAUACAAUGGUCGGUACAGAGGGUUGCCAAGCCGCGAGGUGGAGCCAAUCCCAGAAAGCCGAUCGUAGUCCGGAUCGUAGGCUGCAACUCGCCUGCGUGAAGUCGGAAUCGCUAGUAAUCGCAGAUCAGCAUGCUGCGGUGAAUACGUUCCCGGGUCUUGUACACACCGCCCGUCACACCAUGGGAGUGGGUUCUGCCAGAAGUAGGUAGCUUAACCGCAAGGA
rnacentral:rRNA from 1 species